UUCUUCCUUGUCUUGUCUGUUCGCUGUUUUUGUCUCUGCUAUGAGCUGGUAAGCUCUAUGAGAGCGGGGACCUUAUUCUAAUAAUACUAUGUACUCUUGUGUCUAAGGCAGUGCUUGGCACACAGAAGACUACGCAGUAAAGGGCUUUUCAAUGAAUGAGAAAGUUGAAUGAGUCUCUGCUCCCUGCAACCCGAAAUGUCUUGGCCCAGACAGUAACUCCUGCUGGCGCUCCCACAAUGCCCGCGCCACCCCCGGGAUUGCAAGCCGCACACCGUGUUGUCAUUAUCCCGUCCCUGUCUGCCACCCCUCCAGGACCCUGUGUUCUUUGAAGAGAAGUCCAUGGGCUUAUUCAUCUCUUGUGUUCCCAGAGCCCAGCACGAGCCCUCGUUCCCAGCGGGCGCUCAGAUCAGAGGGCUCUCCUACCACUGUUCUGUCACCAGACUCAUCAUUGCCGACACUUCCUGCGGUGGAGAUGCUGUUUCCCACCAAACCCUGUCCUCCUCUGGCCUGUCCAGCCAGAGUCCACGCUUCCCAGGCCUCCCGGCGGCCAGCGCCCAGGCACACGCAGGAGGGACCUUCGAACUCUGACAGUUGGCACGGCGCAGGCGCUAGCCAAUCAGAACUGCCGUCUCACCAAUCUGCAUGGACGCUACUGUCGCCAACCAAUCAGGCAGCCCCGGGCGCAUGACGUCAUUCUCGCCAACGGAAAGGAUGCCUCGUCCCUGCUGUAGCACUUGCCCCAAAAAGGAAAUCGCUCGCUCCCCACUUCCUCUCUUUCCUCCUUCUCAGAAACUAGAAUUCAGACACGCCAAGGACGCAGCUUGGACCCCGCAAAGAAGGGGGGCAGAGCAACAAGGCGGGAGGGUCCUGGGUCCCUGAAUGAUCACCUGGGACAACAGAGCCUGCGAUAGCCUGGAACACUCAUGUCUGGAUUUUUUUAAGAUUUUAUUUUACUAAAUUUUU